rnacentral:rRNA from 1 species
GACCGGCGCACGGGUGCGUAACGCGUAUGUAACCUACCUAUAACAGGGGCAUAACACUGAGAAAUUGGUACUAAUUCCCCAUAAUAUUCGGAGAGGCAUCUCUCCGGGUUGAAAACUCCGGUGGUUAUAGAUGGACAUGCGUUGUAUUAGCUAGUUGGUGAGGUAACGGCUCACCAAGGCAACGAUACAUAGGGGGACUGAGAGGUUAACCCCCCACACUGGUACUGAGACACGGACCAGACUCCUACGGGAGGCAGCAGUGAGGAAUAUUGGUCAAUGGACGCAAGUCUGAACCAGCCAUGCCGCGUGCAGGAAGACGGCUCUAUGAGUUGUAAACUGCUUUUGUACGAGGGUAAACUCACCUACGUGUAGGUGACUGAAAGUAUCGUACGAAUAAGGAUCGGCUAACUCCGUGCCAGCAGCCGCGGUAAUACGGAGGAUUCAAGCGUUAUCCGGAUUUAUUGGGUUUAAAGGGUGCGUAGGCGGUUUGAUAAGUUAGAGGUGAAAUCCCGGGGCUUAACUCCGGAACUGCCUCUAAUACUGUUAGACUAGAGAGUAGUUGCGGUAGGCGGAAUGUAUGGUGUAGCGGUGAAAUGCUUAGAGAUCAUACAGAACACCGAUUGCGAAGGCAGCUUACCAAACUAUAUCUGACGUUGAGGC